GAUUUGUUUAGUUGUAAAGAAGGUUGGACCUCCCCAUUUAUUUCAGUUCCAUCAGUGUGAAAAAAAAAUUGUUUGAAAGCUGUUGUAACAUACUUAACUUUGUAAUUUUAUGAUUUUUCUUUACCUAUACAUUUUCCCUUUAAGUAUACAGUCAAACUUCUCAAAUUUCUUCAUUGGUUAAGUAACGAAUUUAAUACCUAGAUACCAGUUAACUUCUA